ACUCCUACGGGAGGCAGCAGUGAGGAAUUUUGCGCAAUGGACGAAAGUCUGACGCAGCGACGCCUCGUGAACGAUGAAGUCUUUCGGGAUGUAAAGUUCUGUCGGUGGGGAAAAUAAUGAUGGUACCCACAGAGGAGGCACCGGCUAACUACGUGCCAGCAGCCGCGGUAAU
rnacentral:rRNA from 1 species